ensembl:lncRNA
ACUAGGUUAGGCCCCGCGCUCCACCAAUUUAUUCUGCACUCCCGGGGAGGAGGGGAGGCCCGGGACGGAGCGGCGGGGAGGGAAAUCGAAAUGCGGGCAGAAGGAGUCGGGGAGCACCUCCCUGGUCUUCCCCGCCUCCCCCGCUCAUCCACCGUCUUCCUGGAAGCGUGGGCGGAGGCGGCCUCGCGACUUAGUUAAGAAUUUUGGGUUCCUUCUUAUCUUGCCUCCUCGCCCUUCCCUCAAGAUGUUUGAAAUGCGAAGAGAUCCCCUUAUCGCUCCUCCGACCCAGUUAACUCGAAGGCUCUAUCACCCUGUUGUAUUUGUUUUUUGUCUUGCAUCCAGCGUCCGGGACCUCCGACCGCCGCGAGCUCUCUGGAGACACAGCCUUCACUGAAUGGCCAGAUCUCCAUGGAAGCAAAAUUGAAACUUGGUAUGACUAUUUGGACAUUUCAAGGAAAGAAAGUACCUUCUGCUUAAAUCAUUUGAGAAAUAGUAGCCAAAAUAACUCAUUCACAUCAGUAGCUAAUUCUUCCAUCACUUAAUGCUGGCACUGAUCCUAGUUAUUUGUAUUAAGUAGCUCACCACGUCAUAGGAUUUGUUUACAUAGACAGAUGACAGGUUUGCCUUAGUGUUAAGUGCCAACAUUUAAUAAACAACAACAACAAAAGACUUUUCCUGACACAGGCAGACCUAUCUACUCAAACUUCUGGAUUACUUUAAAGGUGCUAUUGUGAGGCAGGAGUUUUCAGUACCUUCAGGAGACAUUUAUCAUUUCAAACCCAAACACAUUUAAUGGUUACGUUAGUCCUCAUUUUGUUUGUUGCCAUUGUAGAACUGUUGCUGGGUACUCAUUCUGAUAGAAAUAACAAUAGUUUUUGAAAGCAGAAGCAUUGUUGUUAGCAGAACAACACACGCAUAUAAACACCCCAAAUAAACAUUUUUAGCUAUUUCCUUAUAGUGCUGAAAGUUAUUUGGUUAAAUUUAGCAUUGCCCAGAACCUCCAAUAAGAUUGUCUGUGAUUGGCAUGCAUGCAAAUUUAUAAAGCCAAGGUUAUAUUAAUAACUAAAUGAAAAGACCCUGAUGCUGGGAAAGAUUGAAGGCGGGAGGAGAAGGGGACGACAGAGGAUGAGAUGGUUGGAUGGCAUCACCUACUCAAUGGACAUGAGUUUGGGUAAACUGCGGGAGUUGGUGAUGGACAGGGAGGCCUGGCGUGCUGCAGUCCAUGGGGUUGCAAAGAGUCGGACAUGACUGAGUGACUGAACUGAACUGAACAAAAAGGGACAUUAACAUUAAUAACAACAAAGAUGAUGGUAAACCAUAAUGGAAAAGAAUAUUUUAAAAAGAAUAUAUAUAUAUAUAUAUGUAUGACUGAAUCACUGCUGUAUAGAAAUAAUUAACACAACAUUGCAGAUCAACUGUACUUCAAUAAAAAAUUAAUUAAAUUAAGAACAAAUCUAAAAAAACCAACAAAGAUGACCCUUUGAAUUUAAGUACACUGUUUCUUAUUAGUAACUACCAACAUUCAGUAAAAUUUAAACUCUAGAACCACUGUCAGCAUUUGAUGUCUAUCAUUGGUAGCAAGUUUACUGUUACAUGCUGAUAAGACGUCUAAUGUUAGACUCUAGAAAUUAGUGCUAGAACUGCUUGUGGAAAGAUUAAGAGGUGUGAAGAAAGAAUGAAGGCAGAUUUGCAAAGUGAAAGAGGGCUACAGAUAGAAACUUCUGAGAAAAUACAUU